rnacentral:rRNA from 1 species
GACGAACGCUGGCGGCGUGCCUAAUACAUGCAAGUCGAACACAGUGGGGACGGGUGAGUAACACGUGGGUAACCUCCCAUCAGAGGGGAUAACACUUGGAAACAGGUGCUAAACCGAUACUGAUGGAUGGGCGCGCGGGGCAUUGGCUAGUUGGUGAGGUAACGGCUCACCAAGGCCACGAUGCAUAGCCGACUGGAGAGGGUGAUCGGCCACACUGGGACGGAGACACGGCCCAGACUCCUACGGGAGGCAGCAGUAGGGAAUCUUCGGCAAUGGACGAAAGUCUGACCGAGCGACGCCGCGUGGGUGAAGAAGGUUUUCGGAUCGUAAAGCUCUGUUGUUAGAGAAGCGGUAUCUAACCAAGAAGCACCGGCUAACUACGUGCCAGCAGCCGCGGUAAUUC